GUCGUUCUUGCGCUGUCCCAUGCGAUGUCUAUGUCUGCUGCGUAGAGUUCUUGGGCUGAAGCUGUGCUUGGUCUUCCGUUUUUUAUAUCAUUUUUGUGUUCCUUCAGCCUCUCUGCUGGUGUGCGCAUUGUGCCUCCUAUGUGUUCCUUAUUCAGGGUCUUUUUCUUGUCAUAUAUUGGAAUGGUGUAUAUGCCCGAUUUGUUCCUGUCGUCUAGGUGGUCUUUGUCGUUCCUUGGGUGGGAGAGGGCUGUAGGGCCUCUUUUGGGAGCUGAUUUUGUUUGUGAUGUUUUUGCUGUUUUCUUUGCAAUGGGCAUCCUGGUU
rnacentral:lncRNA from 1 species